GCCGGGGAGGCCGGGCCAGCGCGUCCCGCGGUCCGUGUGCCCCCCGGGCCCGCUCGCUGGAGGCUCCGCCGGGUCUUGGCCGCUCCAACGCCGCCGCCGCCUCCCGACCCCUCGAAGACGCGUCAGCGCUCCCCCGCGUGCGGCCGGGAAGCUUCCUGAGCCCUCGGGUGUCCUCCCCGCGCUCCGCGGGAGCUGCGCCACGCAGGUGCUGGGCGGCCGCGCUGGUGCUGCUGGCGCUCCGCCGGCGGCCUGCUGCCUUCAGAGAAAAAGAAUGUCACGCCUCAGACCCAUCGAGGUGCUUUUGUCCCUGCGUGGUUAUUUCCUCACCUGUUGCACCUGGUCCUACGUUGAAUCCCGUCCCGUUGAUCAUCUUUGAGCUCUCUUUGGAUUCCUAGCUUCUGUGUUUUGCUGGUCAAUUGGAGAGCAAAGAGGCCUGCAAAGACUGAGGUGUGAAGAAGAUUCUUGCUGUGCUUGCUUUGGGCCACGUAUUUGUGAGAAGCUUGAAUCUAUGAUCUCAUCUACUGCAUGUGUCUGCAAAGCAGGACUGAUGACCUCUAAGGCUCUCUGAGGCAUAAUUAUGGAAUCACAAAAUGUUUGGGAAUGGAAGUGACCUCUGGAGAUCAUCUAGACCAACCUCCCUGCUAAAUCAGAUUCACCUUAAACAGGUUUCACAGGAUCACAUCCAGAGCUGAUCCGACGGGAACAGGAUCGAUGUCCUAAAUCACCAGGUGCCUCAGGUUUUGUUUCCCGGUUUUGCCGUCCAUGUGAAGGCCUCUCUCCAUGCUGGCCAGCGGGCAGGAGCCCUCCAGCUGCCCUGGGAAAGCACUGCAGAGCUGUUCUUCCGAAGCAGCAGCCGGGCAACUCAGCAGCCGACGCCGUCCCUCGCUGCCUGCCGGUGUUCCUCGUCUUCCCAUCUCCCGCGGGUUUUCCAGGACAGCGCCGGGAUGCGCCGGCAGCGCCGGCCGGGAGCGCGGCGCCGGCUCCGCGGGGCACAGCGACAUCUCCUGGCCAGCCUGGGCAGCACCGGCGCGGGCACCGCCACCGCCUGCCCGCCCCGCCCGGCCGCGCACCUCUGCGGCUGGAAACGCGAGAUCCAGCUCACAGCGGGCUACUUCCACGCUGAUUUAAGGGUUUUUUCCCUGUAUUUUGGAAGGGGGUGUCUGAAAAAAGAUUUGAUUCAUCUCCUGGGCAGCAUCCAAAGCAGUGUGGCCAGCAGGUCGAGGGAGGGGAUUCUGCCCCUCUGCUCUGGUGAGAUCCCACCUGCAGUGCUGCAUCCGGCUCUGGGGUCCUCAGCAUGAAAAGAGCAUAGACCUGCUGGAGUGGGUCCAGAGGAGGGACACCAAGAUGAUCACAGGGCAGGAGAACCUCUCCUGUAGAAACAAGCUGAGAGAGUUGGGGAGUUGGGAUUUUUCAUCCCAGAGAAGAGAAGGCUCCAGGGACACCUUAUGUGGCCUUCCAGUAUGUAAAGGGGGCUUACAGGAGAGCUGAUGAGCGAUUUUUGACAAGGGCAUGUAGUGACAGGACAAGAGAAAAUGGCUUUAAACAGAAAGAGAGUAGGUUUAGAUUAGAUUUUAGAAAGAAAUUCAUUACUAUGCGGAUUGUGAAACACUGCACAAGGUUGUCUGGAGAAAUUGUGGAUGCCUCAUCCCUGGAGGUGUUCAAGGCAGAUUGGAUGGGGCUUUGAGCAAUCUGAUAUAGUGGGUGGCAUCGCUGCCCAUGGCAGGGAGCUUAGAACUAGAUGAUUUCUAAUGUCUCUUUCAACCCAAACCAUUCUGUGAUGCUAUUAAAUAUAUAAAGUAGACAUCCUGGUAAAGCUGUAUUUUAAACUGAAAAAAUGUAAGGUGCACAAAAUCAUGAGAGUAACCCAUUUUUAUGCAUUUCUUAAAUACAGGUUCAUCCUGCUUGACACAACUUUAAAAUAGUAGAUUGCCCUGUCACAAUCUUCUGUGUGCUUGAUUCCCCAAAGAGAAAUUUGUAUUUCAACUACCACUGAAAUUCAGUAACUGCUGAAAGGCGAAAAAUGUGAAAAGGCUGGCAGGCUGAAUUGAACAAGAACUCUUAUAGAAGAAGCUAACAGGCUAAAUUCACAUCAGGGCCGUGUAAUUAUCCAAAUGAAUUUAGAUGAAGCAUUGCAGUUACUUUUACCAAAGCACCCAAUGAUGCCACUCAUAGUCUACUUCACAUGUCAUUCAAAAGAGAUAUUGUCACUUCAGACUUUGCAAUACAUAUGAAAUGAAAGGAAAAGUUGGACUCCCUGGGUUUUACCAGUGUUGUUACACCCAAUAGGGAAAUAUAAGCUUUGUGGUGGUACUAAAGAGCUAGAUAGUAAAGUAAAAUGUAUGUGAGAAUGGAACAUGGUGUGAUACAUAUGAAAACUCCAUGGUAAAGAGCUAUUUUCCACAUGGCAUCUAAUGUAUCCUUUUAGAGUGAGAAAAUGACUGUCUCUUACUUCUGUCGCUUUGAGUCCAUUGCUCCUUAAAGCUAUGUGCUGUCUUUUUAGCUGGAUUGCUAGAUCUGGAUCUGUGUAAGCUCUGAAGAAAUCAGCAAUGUAACCACAAGUCCUGCAAGUGCCUAAUCAGCAGAUACAAAGUGUUCUGUUUUCAAUAAAUAUUGAGGGACUUUGUUUUUUUUAAAGUAAUGUCUCAUUCCAGUCACAUGGUGUUUAUAUUGGUCAGUGAAUCACAACAUAACUCUUUCUGCAGCAAGACUUCACGCUGUGUUAUAAAAAUUCUUGCAAGUAGUAAAGGUUGUGCUGUUACAUAGCCAGCUUUACUGAAGGGAGACUUCAGUUUGUGGGUCAUGUCCUUCAAAACCUGGAAAAGGCUGGAUCUGCUCAACCUCUUGGAAAAUCUCUCCAGGGCACUGAUGCUCUCUUGUAGCUUAGGUGCCUCUUAAGAAGUGGAAAACUAAUCCCAGCUUUUGUGCUAAGAAUCAAGUGUUUGCUCAUUUGUUAGGACGCUAUAUAAGAAAUAUAAGUAAUCAUGGAAUGAACUAUCAUUUUGACACAUUGCAACCAUUAUUACAAGAUUUUUCUUUUGACAUGUUGAGGUGAUAGAAGAGCAGAUGAAGGAUGAGGAUAAAGGUUGAGAGGACCACAGCAGCUGCUGUUGGAGCAACAUCUUUACAGAACAGUGAAGGAAUGAAAUACAACAUGUAUAACAAUGAUUUUAAAAUUUCACAUUACUAUAAAUGUUAAAGUGAUGUCAUGCAACUCUUUACCCAAAUUUGGUUUGUUAUUCACAUGGCUUGUUUUCAAAUGUUUCUAUGUAUGCUAGAGGCAAAUGCACCUGUGCCUCACAAAUUCUUGAGGAGUUCCUAUAGAAAACAAACUCUUUAGAGUGAUAAUAAUCUGUUCAAUUCUUGCAGACAGAAUGGUAGAGAGGAAAUGAGCAAUUAAAAAAGAAUAAUGUGCCUAAGGGUUUGAAAGCUCUGUUUUGCUGUUGAAAGUCAGGAUCCAAAGCACUCUUGCUGUAGAAACAGUCUUACUUUUCACCAGUUAAAAAUCAACUAGUGUUCCAAGAAGAAUGCCAAUUUUCAGGUUUCCUCCUCUUCUGCCUCACUGAAGGUUUUACUUGAGACUUGAUAGAAAUAUCUCAAGGCAAUGAAGUACAGUAAGACUGGUGUAUUUAUUUUGGAUCUGUUAAAAUUUCAUAGCUUGUGCUCACAUGCACAUUUAGGAUGUGAAACCCCUAUUCAUGGGGACAUCUUCAUCUGUGCAUGUUUUCAUGUGGACCGCUUUAGUAAAAAUAAUACAAGUACUGAAAAUCUCACCUAUGAAGACCUGGAAGUAGAAAAUUUUCUGCUCUUUAAAAUUAUGUACUGUCUAGGUCCUACAGUACACAUAAAAUAUGCUAACUUGUAAUUAGCACAAACCACUCAUUAUCUCCUUUUGGGUUUGUUUGUUUGCUUGUUUGUUUGUUUGUUUUUCCUAAGAACAGAGUGAAAAUUGAAGUUAAAUAGCUAGAAUGAGCAUAUGUGGUGUACUGAUCCUCUGGAUAUAUUUGUCAAAGUAAUUGCUUGCCAGAAAAUAAUUGAACUUACUAAAUGAAUUUUGAGAUUUAGGAAGUUCUGUGUUCAAAGAAUCCCUGAAAACUCAGCCCAGAACUCAUUGAGGCUAUGUCAGCCUGUUGGUCUGGAAGGUGGCCGGCUGCUGAUCCUAGGGUAGAAGUAUUUCAUCCAGAAAGUCUUUAAAGAGAAAUUGCUGGGGGAUUUACAGGAAGAGUUUGCUGUGGUUAGUGAACAAUUGCUUUCUGGAAUGACAUAAAUAAUGCUGUUUGAUAGCGAUGUACGCUGGGAAUUAACUACUGUGUCAAGCAUCUUUAGCUGACAAGGAGCAGCUGGAGACUGACUGGGUAAGUAACGAGAGUGGAAGGCUUGCUCUGAAAUCUCAAGUUUAGAGCGACUGAUAGGGAAUUAAUGAUAUCUCAAUGCUAUUCUCUUCACACGAUGAUUUAGUGGAUAAUAUGAAAUUCCAGUCUUAAAAGGAAAGUGAAAAAUUCAUUGGCAAAAAUACUGUCUCACCUUGACUCUCCAUAUGGUGAAAGCCAACCAAAAUCUGGGUCCUAUGUCAGAACUGUUAUUUCCUUUAGUGUUGGAAUUAUAACAAUAGUCUCAUGUUGUCCUAAUUUCCUGACUUUGGCAAUGCCAGGAAGGCUGCAGAGGUGGUAAAAUCUGCUGCUAGAAAUCCUUUUCUGUAGAUAGUUUUCAGUUAAGUAUGAGGAACAAAUUCUGGUAUCUAAACUACAUAAUCCUUUGUCUUUACUGGACUUGCACUUAAGUGUUUAUCAGUGCAGAAUUUACAUCCUUAAUCUUAACACUAUCAUCCAUACUAGUUCUGAAAUUACAUUUUCUUUCCUGGUAUGUGUUCAUCUCAGAAGACAGAACUUGGCCAGACUUUUUUUUAAGAUCACUAAUUAAUUUACUGUGAACCUUGAUUUACAGGACAAGGAUAUGUAGGUUAUUCCACAUAUGUGAGUCAUGAAUGCUUUAAAGAAGUGCUGGUCUGAAAUUUAAAACUUUUUGUCCUCUCUCUUAUUUGCGCUUCUGCUUAUACAUGUUAUAAUUUGAAAAAUCUAAAAAUGUUUUCUGGCCUGGUUUGCACACUUGCGUAUUUGCAAAGACCCCAUGCCACACAUAUUGAAAAAAAAAUUGGAGACUUGUUUUUCUUCUUAGAAAAGCCUUCGUAUCAUAUAAAAUACUGGCAGAAUCUCACUCAGUCUUUGCCAUACCCUCUAAGCAAAGAUUUCUGUAAACAGGUAAACAUUUAUUUAACAUGACCAGAAACCUGGUUAGUAGGUAAGGUAGCAUUUUCUUUCCAUUACUACAAUGCUUUCCUCCCAACAUGUAUUUGUCAAUGCAGCUAUUUUUAUAACACAGAUCAGAAGUGCUGUGAAAAUCUGGUGCUUGUAUGUUGUUCUACUGAAGGUCAGAAGAUCCUUAAUUAAACUUUAUUUUGCUAAGGUUUAUGUUUACAUACCAUGCUCUGCAAGAAAUAAAAUGUUUGUAGUGAGAUCAUGAGAGAACAAUAAUAUUUAUAAAGGCAGAUUUAACUCA